GCUUCUUAAAUGUUCUCACAGAACUUUCAACGUAGUUUAGCAGAUGAAAUAAAUACUUGAAAAGAUCAUAGUAAGAGAUAUCACAAAGGAAUUCAUAUUUGCUGAGGAGUCAAUGAGUAGUAUGAGUUCAAAGGAUGGAGAGAACUAAAGUUAUUUAUCUGAAAAGGCUUUAUGAGUAGAGUAGGGACAUGACUUCAGUCUGAAGGACAGGUCGAAUUGCAAUAGGUAGGAAAGGAGAAAAUUACUGUUAACUGGGAAAAAUUAAGCAGUGGCAUAAAGGUAUGGAAACAAGGGUUAAUGAAGUGUGUUUGGGAGCAGCAAAUUGAUCACUUUUCUUGAGCUAGAGUGUCAUGUAGGGGCGCACAUCGGUGGGUAUUGACAAUAAAUAAAUAUGGCUUCUAAAUGAAAUGAAACCUUCAAAAAACCUUGUAAGGAAAGCUAUUUCUGAAUAUACUUUUGAUCCAUCUUAAAGAUCUCAUAAAAAACUCCAAUUUCAGCUGAACUUUUAAAAAUAAAUAUUUUGCAAUAUAAAAAUAUUUCCUGGCAUUAAGAUAUGCUCAAAUACCAAACUCACUGCCAAGAGAUUUUCCAGCUUAAACCCAUGCUUUUUAGAUGUGUUGUAAAGAGCUUUAGAUAUCAUUUUAUGUUUGCUUUAAACUUUUUUUCAAGGAAAAAAUAGAAAAGUAUAUCCAUUGGC
rnacentral:lncRNA from 1 species